AGAAGCCAGAGGAAGAAUCUCAACUGUUCCUGACUCCUUGGUGACAUGUUUAUUCUCUCUUCCCCUCUUUGGCAAGAGAAGGACCUUGUGAUUUUCACAGAGUACAGCCAAUUCUGGACUUUCUAUCUUCCCACUGAUGUCCUAGUGGAGUCUCAUAUGAGCUGAUGGCAAGAGCCAUAGAUUCCUCAUGUUUACAGGGAGCAUCUUAGAUACUCCAAAAAUGGGAGACAAGGACCACCACCAACCAGCAACUACUAAAUCAUCCUCUUUCAAAGUAAUGUCAAAUUAUGGAAGAAGACAUGAGAAACCAAAUUCUCCCCCGUUCCCCAGUGAUUGAUUCUGAAGUGAUUGGACUAGCUUGAAAUGGAAGAGUUGAAACUAACUUACUACAGAGAAGUCAACACUGCUGAUGCAAUUUUAAAAGGAUAAUGACCUACGUAGAAAAAGAAGGAAGAAGAGUGGUUUGUAGGAAGCAGAUAACCAAGAUGAAGAGCUGAAUGCUGAAUGGGAUCUCAGAAGCCAUUUGAUUCAACUUCCUCCUACCAGAGAUAAUGAAAUAGAAUCCAGGCUAAGAUCAUCUGGGAACUUGGAACUGACUCCUGAGAAUAUUGUAUCAAAAUCUCAGUUUAUGUAGGAUACUCUUCAUUAGCUUUAGAAAUACAGGCAUAAAUAACAUUGAAGUGCUAGCUCCAAGUUUUCCUGUUUGAAUCUUUCACCAUAUGUAUUCCUACAACCUACAUUACAAUGCAUGGAACGUAGAUUUUGUUGACUGAUUGAUAGAUUGAUACCAAGUCAUAUGACAAGGGAUCCAGCAAAUAUUUUUCAAUUUUUAUUUAAUUACAAUAUAUGGUUUUACUCCAAAUGGAAUUAAUAUUCCUUUGCUCCAUCAACAAAUCAAUCCAUUUUAAAUUCUUUUUGCUAGUGUUUGAAUAUUUCUCACAAGAGCAUUUUUCACUUUAGGUAGAAAAGUCUAAGGAAUAACAAUGGAGGCAUGAAGUAAACUUCUAGUCUCAAUAAAUUAAAUGUCUCAAGUAAAUUUAUUUUGUGAAGGGAAAUCACUACAUCCUGAGGUAAUUCUUGGAUUUCCAAGGUUGGAUCCUGAUAUUGACAGUAGUAGUCCCUAGAAAUAUAGAAAGACCACAUAUAAAGAGUCCAUAGAAGUAUAGAAAGACCACCUUGUCCAAUUACAUCAUUAGCAUCAUUCUCUCAGCUUCUAAAUGAGCUGAAGACCAUGCUUGCCCUUCUGUAAUUCAGUCCACUUGGUCAGAGAUUGUGCUGAAUUCUUGAUUAAGUAAAUGGGAUUGAUGGAUGUUUGGGCCAUGAGCAAACAUAGCCAUUGUUCAUAUGACUUCAUGGCUAGCAUCAGGAGAAAAUCAAAAUGACUUAUGAUAAAGGAAAAACUAGUGUCUGUGGCCCAUAAAUGAAAAAUGAUAGCCUGAUAAUUCCAUCUUCAGGAAUGA